UGGGGAAUUUUCCGCAAUGGGCGAAAGCCUGACGGAGCAAUGCCGCGUGGAGGUGGAAGGCCUACGGGUCGUCAACUUCUUUUCUCGGAGAAGAAACAAUGACGGUAUCUGAGGAAUAAGCAUCGGCUAACUCUUUGCCUG
rnacentral:rRNA from 1 species